rnacentral:rRNA from 1 species
GUGGGGAAUAUUGGACAAUGGGGGGAACCCUGAUCCAGCCAUGCCGCGUGUGUGAAGAAGGCCUUUUGGUUGUAAAGCACUUUAAGCGGGGAGGAGGCUCUUGAGGAUAAUACCCUUGAUGAGUGGACGUUACCCGCAGAAUAAGCACCGGCUAACUCUGUGCCAGCAGCCGCGGUAAUACAGAGGGUGCGAGCGUUAAUCGAAUUUACUGGGCGUAAAGCGUGCGUAGGCGGCUGAAUAAGUCGGAUGUGAAAUCCCCGAGCUUAACUUGGGAAUUGCAUACGAUACUGUUUGGCUAGAGUAUGGGAGAGGAUGGUAGAAUUCCAGGUGUAGCGGUGAAAUGCGUAGAGAUCUGGAGGAAUACCGAUGGCGAAGGCAGCCAUCUGGCCUAAUACUGACGCUGAGGUACGAAAGCAUGGGGAGCAAACAGGAUUAGAAACCCGUGUAGUCC